AUGGGAAGAAUAUGGUGGCUGGUUUUCCUUUUCACAUGGUAUCGGGUCGUUGAGUUUCUCUCUUCUCCCUCCCCUCUUUUUUUAGACAAGAGCUUGCUGAUGAUACAAGUGGCUCCUACGUGCUGUCGUUACAUAAACACUCGACCGUGCAGAGCAAGCACAAGUCCCCGGGACACGGCAUUUCCAUCCCAGACCUCAGCACCCCCACCCUCCUGUGUCGUGUGUGUGUAUCCCAGACUCAGCACCCUCACCCUCCUGUGUCGUGUGUACAUGUGUGUGCAUGUAUGUGUGUGGGUCCCAGAUCUCAUCACCCUCCUACGUCGAGUAUGUGUGUGUGCGUGUCCCAGACCCCAUCACCCUCCUGUCAUGUGUGUGCGUGUGUGUGUAUCCCAGACCUCAGAACCCUCACCCUCCUGUGUUGUAUGUGUCAUGUGUGUGUGUCCCAGACCCCACCACUUUCCUGUGUCGAGUGUGUGUGUGUCCCAGACCCCACCACUUUCCUGUGUCGAGUGUGUGUGUGUCCCAGACCCCACCACUCUCCUGUAUGUCAUGUGUGCGUGUAUCCCAGACCCCACCACUCUCCUGUAUGUGUCAUGUGUGUGUGUCCCAGACCCCACCACUCUCCUGUGUCUAGUGUGUGUGUGUCCCAGACCCCACCAUUCUCCUGUGUCGAGUGUGUGUGUAUCCCAGACCCCACCACUCUCCUGUGUCAUGUGUGUGUGUCCCAGACCCCACCACUCUCCUGUAUGUGUCAUGUGUGCAUAUGUGUGUGUGUGUCCCAGACCCCACCACUCUCCUGUAUGUGUCAUGUGUGUGUGUCCCAGACCCCACCACUCUCCUGUAUGUGUCAUGUGUGUGUGUCCCAGACCCCACCACUCUCCUGUAUGUGUCAUGUGUGUGUGUCCCAGACCCCACCACUCUCCUGUGUCGAGUGUGUGUGUGUGUGGCGUUCAUAUACAGAUAUAUACAAAUCUGCCUAUUCAGAGGCACUAUGUAGUAUUGAGGGGGGGGUGA
rnacentral:lncRNA from 1 species